GUGCCAGCAGCCGCGGUAAUACGGAGGGUGCGAGCGUUAAUCGGAAUUACUGGGCGUAAAGGGCGCGUAGGCGGUCGCGCAAGUCGGGUGUGAAAGCCCCGGGCUCAACCUGGGAAUUGCAUUCGAUACUGCGUAACUGAGUCUGGUAGAGGGAAGCGGAAUUCCGCAUGUAGCGGUGAAAUGCGUAGAUAUGCGGAGGAACACCAGUGGCGAAGGCGGCUUCCUGGACCAAGACUGACGCUGAGGCGCGAAAGCGUGGGGAGCAAACAGGAUUAGAUACCCUGGUAGUCCACGCCCUAAACGAUGAGGACUAGACGUUGGGGGGAUAAAACCCUUUAGUGUCGCAGCUAACGCGUGAAGUCCUCCGCCUGGGGAGUACGGCCGCAAGGUUGAAACUUAAAGGAAUUGACGG
rnacentral:rRNA from 1 species